UUAAUCACCUUAUCCACCUUUCUAUAUGGAGUUUAAAGAUAACAACAUAAUUAACACUAAACCCCCCUCCUUUUAGUUGGUCUUGCCCAUGACGUCAUAGAAGGAAGCGGUUGGCCGCCGCCUCCUCUAGUCAACUCAAGCAUGAACAACACUCUGCUUGGCUCCAGAGGGAUAUUGCACAAAAACAGAUCAAGAUUUCCAGGACAAGUGGCUUGGCCUAGUUUACUAAACUUCACCCUGUGUUAUUCCUUUGGACGAUUGCCAAGCCAGGAUAAAAACACGAAACUACUAUUACACAGACAAGCACGAUACGGAAAGGAAAUGCCUAAAACCAAAGGCAGAUAAGAAGUUUGAUCAUUUCAAAGGAGAAUGAAGGAGUCAACCAUAACCAUCUGCUGGCCUGGAGGAGCAAUCGGAUGCUGGCAACCUGAUCAGGCAUAAUCUGUUGAAUGGUGAGGGAUGUCUGCAGCCUGGCCUCAUCUGGGCAGAAUGAAGAUGUCAUGCUGUGACUACGGGCUACACAACACUCCCAUGUGGCUGGACUACUUGAGAACAGGCUGACAUUUGAAAUGCUGGUGCGCUCCAUCAGAACCUACCGUGGCAUCUGGGAGUAUUGUGAGAGCACAGAGGGCAACAUGCUGUACCUGCACCGAAUUCCAACAGCUAUGCUGCUGUCAGUGAGCUGAUGAGGGUGACAAUGAGCUGGAUGGUUUGAUGGCUCCUUGAAACGUGUAGGUGUGGAUGAAAGCAGAACAGGAAGAUGGACUGACAUGGAAAGACACUGACUCCUUUAGCCUUGUAGAAGAUAUUCCGAUCCGGUAUGUGUUUACCUUUUAUAUAUGUUGCUAUCAUCCAGGCUGAGAGCAUGUUAGCAGGUAGUAAGCAUAUUGCUGAAUGUGAUAAAUGUUUUAAUACUGUUAGUGUGUGGGCACAGGUGCAAACCACAUAUGGGCUCUUAAGCAUGAGUGCAAGUUCGCUGAUUAGACACAACACAUAUUCAUGUGCAUUUGACAUUUGAUGCACUGUACACAAGCAUUAACAGCAUGUGAAACUGCAGUAUGUACAUCUAGUUGUGUGGCAAACAAGGUUAAAGGUGAAAUGGCGAGCAGUAAUUCAUCAACGUGUAAAGAAAUGGCAAGUAUGCUCUCUUUGGCCUAACCUCAGUUUUCUUCUCCAUUUAAAAUAUCGAUGCAUCUCUGGUACAAAAGGCGUACAGUUUUCUCCAAAACAGGACCAACCAAAGAGAUGUGUCUGCCUGCUUUAGGGCUCAUGACCAAGAACAGAGCUAAAAAUAUGGUUCGCAUGUGAAGUGGAGCUGUCAGUAACUGCUAUCGUGGUCCUGUCAGGAAAAGACAGAAGCUCAGAGUCGAAUAAAAGACUUGCUAUCAGACAGAACAGAGAGGAGAGUCCAGGAAGGGUCAAAGGAGAACCCAGGUUGAGAAGUACUGCAUGGAAAUGAAAGAACUCUUUAACAUCAGUUCAUCUCCACCCGUGUCUCUUUAUUCAUUCCUCCGUUGUGGGCCAUUACACCACAGUGUUCCUCUGUCUGUAUGGAGGGGGUGGCAACACAUUGCCAGCUUUCAUAGCAGCUUCAGACAAAUAUUCCUGAUUUUCAGCCACAGCAGGGCGAAUGCGUCCAUUCUGCCGGUAAAAGAAGCGUGUGCUGCAGUCCUGCAGGUACUCGGGGUUGUGCAGUGAGGACUUUGGGGGCAGACUGUGCUGCCAGUAUUCAGGAUUGUCAAAAGUGGCCUUCUUGCCUUUCUUAUCAAACAUGAUGGUGCUGCUGGUGACGCCUGAGUGCAGAGCGUGUCCCGAAUGCCCUGGAUGCAGGGUGUGUGAUGGAUAUGAUGAGUGGGGGAGGUGGCCGGGAGGUACCACGUAUCCAGUGGAUGAGACGACGUGGCCCGACGUCGAUGGGUUGACUGUCUGUGAUACUGACUGGGCAACAGAGGAGCCGGGCCCCGAGAUGGAAACUGCACCAGCCAAACCGUUCUUGUCUCCAGGGUUAAGGAAGGUAUUCAGGUACAAUGGCUCAUUAAUAUACUCUUCAUCCCCAUGGGAGGCCUGACCCUUGGGGUUGGCUGCAGCUCCAGCUAUGUGCAAGGUGUGGCAGCCUGCUCCAUCAACCACAGCGUGUAUGUCACCAUUCCUCCGACGCGUGACAAAGGGGUUUUCCUCCACAGGCCUGAGAUAGUCUGGUAACAAAGGGUUCAAAAAAUGAGUUUCAAUAAGAAAAGUAAUGCUGUCUACAUUGCAUCGUGCUUGGUUAUCAUUUGUAUAUCAAAGGUCAGAUUAACACAAACCCCUGUAAUGUUACACCUCAUGUUCAAUAGUGCAAAGUAACCUGAGGAUUUCUUGUCUCUCUUAGCAGUAAUGUAGAUGUCCUGGUCCUUGUCUCCUUUUGGUCCUCGCUCUGUUAAAAGGCCGGUUGGAUCAGCACUGUAUCGCUGUCCACUGCUGUCUUCACCUUGGGAGGCAAACACAAGGAUUGUUUUGAUAUGGUAAAUAUAGAUGUGGGCCAUGGGACAGGAUGUCUCCAGCCCUGUAAUGCAGUCCCACAGUGAGAAUCGAGCCUGCCCCGAGGGCGCUGGAUCUCGGGGAGGCCUGCUUCCUCAGGGUGCCGUUGCAUCGUGGGUCAUCCUGGUUGCCGUGGCUGAACCCACCAGCAAUUUGGCUCCCUGACGCCAGGUCCUGUGGAGGGAGGCAGCUUCCGGACACCGGUGGAACGGAGACCACUCUGGGCAGCGUGGCCAACAUGUCCUCCAUGCUGAAACUGGGAUCGUGGUAGCUGAACUGGGUCUGCUUGAGUGGGAAAGAUGCAAGAAAGUAUGUAUAAAAUAAAAAGUGCGAUAAUAUAGA